CAAAUUAAAAUUGAAAAAUAUAUAUAUAUAGAGUGACCAAUUCUUGUUUUUUAUUUUUAUUUUAUUUUAUUAUAACAAGCAAUUGAUAUACAUUUUUUUUUGUAUAAUUUACUUUUGAAAGGGAAUUCCAACUUUUGUUGCAUUUUAUUGGUGCAUCUAUGAUAAUAGUAAGUAUGUGACUUGCACAAGCCUCAUCUUCAUGAGACAAGCACAUGUGUUUCUGCAUGAAAUCGUAUUCUUUGCUUUAGAACCUAAC
rnacentral:lncRNA from 1 species